AACUUUCAACAACGGAUCUCUGGCUCUCGCAUCGAUGAAGAACGCAGCGAAAUGCGAUAAGUAAUGUGAAUUGCAGAAUUCAGUGAAUCAUCGAAUCUUUGAACGCACCUUGCGCUCGACGGUAUUCCGGAGAGCAUGCCUGUUUGAGUCUCA
rnacentral:rRNA from 1 species